UGGGGAAUAUUGGACAAUGGACCAAGAGUCUGAUCCAGCAAUUCUGUGUGCACGAUGAAGUUUUUCGGAAUGUAAAGUGCUUUCAGUUGGGAAGAAAGAAAUGACGGUACCAACAGAAGAAGUGACGGCUAAAUACGUGCCAGCAGCCGCGGUAAUACGUAUGUCACGAGCGUUAUCCGGAUUUAUUGGGCGUAAAGCGCGUCUAGGUGGUUAUGUAAGUCUGAUGUGAAAAUGCAGGGCUCAACUCUGUAUUGCGUUGGAAACUGUAUAACUAGAGUACUGGAGAGGUAAGCGGAACUACAAGUGUAGAGGUGAAAUUCGUAGAUAUUUGUAGGAAUGCCGAUGGGGAAGCCAGCUUACUGGACAGAUACUGACGCUGAAGCGCGAAAGCGUGGGAGCAAACAGGAUUAGAUACCCUGGUAGUCCACGCCGUAAACGAUGAGUGCUAGGUGUUAGACCCUUUCCGGGGUUUAGUGCCGUAGCUAACGCAUUAAGCACUCCGCCUGGGGAGUACGACCGCAAGGUUG
rnacentral:rRNA from 1 species